UACAGAGGUCUCAAGCGUUGUUCGGAUUCAUUGGGCGUAAAGGGUGCGUAGGUGGCGCCGUAAGUCAGGUGUGAAAUUUCGGAGCUUAACUCCGAAACUGCAUUUGAUACUGCGGUGCUUGAGGACUGGAGAGGAGACUGGAAUUUACGGUGUAGCAGUGAAAUGCGUAGAGAUCGUAAGGAAGACCAGUGGCGAAGGCGGGUCUCUGGACAGUUCCUGACACUGAGGAGCGAAAGCGUGGGGAGCGAACAGG
rnacentral:rRNA from 1 species